AGUCGAACGGUAACAUUUCCAGCUUGCUGGAAGAUGACAAGUGGCGGACGGGUGAGUAAUACUUAGGGAUCUGCCUUUGAGAGGGGGAUAACCAUUGGAAACGAUGGCUAAUACCGCAUAAUGUCUACGGACCAAAGGGGGGCUUCGGCUCUCGCUCGAAGAGGAACCUAAGCGAGAUUAGCUUGUUGGUGAGGUAAAGGCUCACCAAGGCGACGAUCUCUAGCUGUUCUGAGAGGAAGAUCAGCCACACUGGGACUGAGACACGGCCCAGACUCCUACGGGAGGCAGCAGUGGGGAAUAUUGCACAAUGGGGGAAACCCUGAUGCAGCCAUGCCGCGUGUGUGAAGAAGGCCUUCGGGUUGUAAAGCACUUUCAGUCGUGAGGAAAGGGUGAGUGUUAAUACCAUUCAUCUGUGACGUUAGCGACAGAAGAAGCACCGGCUAACUCCGUGCCAGCAGCCGCGGUAAUACGGAGGGUGCGAGCGUUAAUCGGAAUUACUGGGCGUAAAGCGCACGCAGGCGGUUUGUUAAGCUAGAUGUGAAAGCCCCGCGCUCAACGUGGGAGGGUCAUUUAGAACUGGCAGACUAGAGUCUUGGAGAGGGGAGUGGAAUUCCAGGUGUAGCGGUGAAAUGCGUAGAGAUCUGGAGGAACAUCAGUGGCGAAGGCGACUCCCUGGCCAAAGACUGACGCUCAUGUGCGAAAGUGUGGGUAGCGAACAGGAUUAGAUACCCUGGUAGUCCACACCGUAAACGCUGUCUACUAGCUGUUUGUGGAUUUUAUCCGUGAGUAGCGAAGCUAACGCGCUAAGUAGACCGCCUGGGGAGUACGGCCGCAAGGUUAAAACUCAAAUGAAUUGACGGGGGCCCGCACAAGCGGUGGAGCAUGUGGUUUAAUUCGAUGCAACGCGAA
rnacentral:rRNA from 1 species